UUCCGGUUGAUCCUGCCGGACCUGACUGCUAUCGGAUUGAUACUAAGCCAUGCGAGUCUUUGCAGUAAUGCAAGGCAUACGGCUCAGUAACACGUAGUCAACUUACCCUAUGGACGAGGAUAAUCUCGGGAAACUGAGCAUAAUACUCGAUAGAUCAUAAUGCCUGGAAUGGUUUAUGGUUAAAAUGAUUCGUCGCCAUAGGAUGGGACUGCGGCCUAUCAGCUUGUUGGUGAGGUAAUGGCCCACCAAGGCGAUUACAGGUACGGGCUCUGAGAGGAGAGGCCCGGAGAUGGGUACUGAGACAAGGACCCAGGCCCUAUGGGGCGCAGCAGGCGAGAAAACUUUGCAAUGUGCGAAAGCACGACAAGGUUAAUCCGAGUGAUUUCUGCUAAAGGAAUCUUUUGUUAGUUCUAAAUCUACUAGUGAAUAAGGGGUGGGCAAGUUCUGGUGUCAGCCGCCGCGGUAAAACCAGCACCUCAAGUGGUCAGGAGGAUUAUUGGGCCUAAAGCAUCCGUAGCCGGCUCUGUAAGUUUUCGGUUAAAUCCAUGUGCUCAACACAUGGGCUGCCGAAAAUACUGCAUAGCUAGGGAGUGGGAGAGGUAGACGGUACUCGGUAGGAAGGGGUAAAAUCCUUUGAUCUAUCGAUGACCACCUGUGGCGAAGGCGGUCUACCAGAACACGUUCGACGGUGAGGGAUGAAAGCUGGGGGAGCAAACCGGAUUAGAUACCCGGGUAGUCCCAGCUGUAAACGAUGCAGACUCGAUGAUGCAUUGGCAUAUAGCCAGUGCAGUGUCGCAGGGAAGCCGUUAAGUCUGCCGCCUGGGAAGUACGUACGCAAGUAUGAAACUUAAAGGAAUUGGCGGGGGAGCACCACAAGGGGUGAAGCCUGCGGUUCAAUUGGAUUCAACGCCGG
rnacentral:rRNA from 1 species